UACGUAGGGUGCGAGCGUUUAAUCGGAAUUACUGGGCGUAAAGCGUGCGCAGGCGGUUAUGUAAGACAGUUGUGAAAUCCCCGGGCUCAACCUGGGAAUGGCAUUUGGGACUGCAAGGCUGGAGUGCGGCAGAGGAGACUGGAAUUCCUGGUGUAGCAGUGAAAUGCGUAGAUAUCAGGAGGAAUACCGAUGGCGAAGGCAGGUCUCUGGGCUGACACUGACGCUCAUGCACGAAAGCGUGGGGAGCAAACCGG
rnacentral:rRNA from 1 species